CGAUAAUUCGACCUAUCUGGACGUCAGAAAUCAUUGCUAGAUGGUAUCUCGAUUAGUGCAGAAAUCGGUUCCUAUGCUAUCAGCUUAGUGUUUGAACCUAUGGAGUCACGCACAUAAGUUAGACACCGUAGAAAAGUAUUGGCCUAUAUUUACAUAUCCAAUUUGGAAGUAUUUGACUUGAUUAAACAUAUAAGCUAACUUGAUUGAGAAUUGAG
rnacentral:lncRNA from 1 species